rnacentral:rRNA from 1 species
UAGAUACCCUGGUAGUCCACGCCGUAAACGAUGGGCGCUAGGUGUGGGAGGUGUCGACUCCUUCCGUGCCGAAGCUAACGCAUUAAGCGCCCCGCCUGGGGAGUACGGCCGCAAGGCUAAAACUCAAAGGAAUUGACGGGGACCCGCACAAGCAGCGGAGCAUGUGGUUUAAUUCGACGCAACGCGAAGAACCUUACCUAGGCUUGACAUGUUGGUGACAAACGUGGAAACACGUCUUCUUCGGACACCA